CAGAUUUAUGUAGGAGAGACAUUGAACGAAAUUUCGAAGCAACAUCCUCCGUUGCUGAUAAAGGUUUGGUCCAUCACCAUCACCGAAUUUUUGCUUAGAAUGUUGCCCGUUUGCCCAGCUAUUGUUUUUACGGGUCUAAGCAACGAAAUGUACAUUCACUUAUGUAAUAAAAACGCAACAUCAAAUCUAAAGGAGGGGGUUCCAGCUACCUAAGGCGGAAAUGGCGGAAGGAGUUGGUUAAUAUGGGGUGGAGGGCUGUAUGCUCUAAA